AUGUCUGAUGUCGUGGAUGAAGCUCGCUGGCGUGAGCAGGUGUUUAGAGAACAUGAGUUCUCCGUGGUGCGUCUGCAUUCUGUUGCUGCAAAUGAUUUUCGUGCCAAUGGCUUUAUUGUCUAUCACAGUAAAACGAGGUGUCUCAUAGUGUCAUGUCAACAUGUCGUUAAGAUAGUUGAAGAUGGUGGAACCAUGUAUGCUUAUUUCUCCAACAGUGUCGCCCCAUACAAUGCAAGAGUAUUGUAUACCGAUGAGCACCGGGAUCUUGCUUUGCUGUGGGCUGAAGAGGUGGUGGAACCAAUGACUUCUUUGAGGUUCUUUGACUCACCGUAUGCUUCUGGAUGGAAUGUUGUCGCACUCUCUUUUAUCUCAUUGGGUGCUUCAUCCAAUCCUAUUCUAGAACCAGGGACCUUUUCUGGUGACAUAACCAAUGAACCAGAUGAACCACACCUUCACUGUAGUUGUUCAUCUAAGGAAGCGGCAUCAGGUUCACCUAUUAUUUUGGCAAAUGUAAACGAGGUAGUUGGGGUGCUUGGCGGAGCUUCACGUGCGUCUGUAUACGCUGUUCCGGUCAGAACUAUAAAGGAGUUCUUAGGACAGCGCCUUGGUGGAGUCAAUAUGGACAUGCCAAUCGCUGGGAUGGUUAGGCUUGUCGCACUGCAGCAGGCAUAG
rnacentral:rRNA from 1 species